GCGAGCGUGGCGGAAUGGCAGACGCGCCAGGUUCAGGACCUGGUGUCCGUACGGACGUGGAGGUUCAACUCCUCUCGCUCGCACCA
rnacentral:tRNA from 1 species